rnacentral:rRNA from 1 species
AGUGAACGCUGGCGGUAGGCCUAACACAUGCAAGUCGAACGGCAGCACAGUAAGAGCUUGCUCUUACGGGUGGCGAGUGGCGGACGGGUGAGGAAUACAUCGGAAUCUACUUUUUCGUGGGGGAUAACGUAGGGAAACUUACGCUAAUACCGCAUACGACCUACGGGUGAAAGCAGGGGAUCUUCGGACCUUGCGCGGUUGAAUGAGCCGAUGUCGGAUUAGCUAGUUGGGGGGGUAAAGGCCCACCAAGGCGACGAUCCGUAGCUGGUCUGAGUGGAUGAUCAGCCACACUGGAACUGAGACACGGUCCAGACUCCUACGGGAGGCAGCAGUGGGGAAUAUUGGACAAUGGGCGCAAGCCUGAUCCAGCCAUACCGCGUGGGUGAAGAAGGCCUUCGGGUUGUAAAGCCCUUUUGUUGGGAAAGAAAAGCAGCAGGUUAAUACCCCGCUGUUCUGACGGUACCCAAAGAAUAAGCACCGGCUAACUUCGUG